CCUACGGGUGGCUGCAGUGGGGAAUAUUGGACAAUGGGCGAAAGCCUGAUCCAGCCAUGCCGCGUGUGUGAAGAAGGCCUUCGGGUUGUAAAGCACUUUCAGUGGGGAAGAAAGCCUUGGGGCUAAUACCCUCGAGGAAGGACAUCACCCACAGAAGAAGCACCGGCUAACUCCGUGCCAGCAGCCGCGGUAAUACGGAGGGUGCGAGCGUUAAUCGGAAUUACUGGGCGUAAAGCGCGCGUAGGCGGUCUGAUAAGCCGGUUGUGAAAGCCCCGGGCUCAACCUGGGAACGGCAUCCGGAACUGUCAGGCUAGAGUGCAGGAGAGGAAGGUAGAAGUCCCGGUGUAGCGGUGAAAUGCGUAGAGAUCGGGAGGAAUACCAGUGGCGAAGGCGGCCUUCUGGACUGACACUGACGCUGAGGUGCGAAAGCGUGGGUAGCAAACAGGAUUAGAUACCCGGGUAGUC
rnacentral:rRNA from 1 species